CAGGAAGCAUCCCUUUUUCCCCAUUCACCUCCUCUGGAGGCAAGAUGUGAGCCACCUGCAAGGAGGGACGCCAAUAAGGCACCCGAUAAGAUAAGUCUUAUAAAAUAUAUAGAUGUAUGAUAAUUGAGACUGAGCUAACGGAUGAGAAUCCUAGUCAUUGAACAAGCAGUAUUGUACCUAAUACAAGUUUCUGUGUAUUCAUUUGGGCCCUAACUCAGGCGGGGGCUGGUAAAAAGCUUCCACGUGGUGGUGGGGCUCAGCGGCUUUUGGCAAAAAGAUUUAUCAUAACAGAAUGGUGUCAGUGAGCAGGAUCACCACAUGUGCCAAGGUUCCCAGAGAAAGGGGUAAACCUGCCACCACAGCCUGCCCUGUGGGGACACUGAGAGGUAUUGGAGCAGCUUCCAUAUGCUUGAACUCUCCCGGUGCUUCUGGAGUUUAGACUUGGCACUCCCAAGAUGAUAAAGACAGAUCCAGACAAAGAGAAACCUCUUAACGUUUACAUUGCAUUUAAAAAUAUAUGUAUGUUUGAGAGAGAAAAAGUAACAGGAGGAAAUAGACUAGCCCAUUGUGGUGGCCAACACUGAUAGGAUUUGCUGAAGGAAGCAGAGACAGGCAGAUUUCCACAGAGAAACCCUGUCUCAGAAAAAAGAAACAAAAGGAAGUAAAAGUAGAAUAGUAAAAAAGCCACCUAGAGAUGAAAAAUACACAAAGAAUCUAGAUGCUUUAUGGCAUAUUGUUAUCUCUAAAUUGUUUGAUUGCCGAGGAAAGACUUACUGCUACUAAGAUACAUUUGAUUAUAAAUGCUGCUAAAUUAAUCCAACUUAUACAUUUUAAAAAAUUUAAGUCUAAGGACAGGCUACUUAGAAAUAAAGGUUUUGCUUGUCUUUCCACAGAAAAUCAAAAGCUGUUGAUUCCUUCCAAACUAAUAUGGUUUGACCAAGCAAGACCCCCUGAAGCUGAGAUGAUACAGCCUUACAGACUACAAAAACAAGGACUUGGUCAGGUUUCUAUGCUUCUUUCCCAAAACCCUAUGGAAAAACAAUCCCUUGUCCUGGAUGUGACCCUGUACUAUAUGCAAAUGGGGAUGUGGUGGAAGACUAAGAGAAUUCCUCUACCUACAAUGACUGCCAUUAUCAUCCUUGUACAGUGACUGAGAAGCAGCUUCAGGAAUUCUACAUCUAUGGGUGUGGUCAGAUGG
ensembl:lncRNA